UUGAGAGGAGCUGUCCUUAGUACGAGAGGACCGGGAUGGACGUUCCGCUGGUGUACCAGUUGUGCCGCCAGGCGCAUCGCUGGGUAGCUAUGAACGGCAGGGAUAAACGCUGAAAGCAUCUAAGUGUGAAGCCCCCCUCGAGAUGAGAUUUCCCAUUCCUAUAUGGAAGUAAGACCCCUGAGAGAUGAUCAGGUAGAUAGGCUGGAAGUGGAAGUGCAGCGAUGCAUGGAGCGGACCAGUACUAAUCGGUCGAGGACUUAACCAAG
rnacentral:rRNA from 1 species